CUUCACACUGACAAAGUCAAACAAAAUUCAAGAGUACAAGACUUUGGUACGGUAAUUUGAAGGUAUUACACGGUCCAAUCAACGACGGGAUUGCAACAUCUCCCAACCAAUCAAAAGUCUCCGUGUUGCCCUGCAUGCCUUCUUUUUUGGAUCCUUACCUUAGCUAGCUGUCUACAUAAAUGCGGAAUUGCAUUUUCUGCCAACCUAUCCAAGCAUAGUAAGAACGUUUAUACGAUGUAUAUCUUUGAAACAAUGAAACAGUGGAUGUCUACAGUAGGAAAACGUUUCAUGAACACUUUCGUCUUCAUCUAGCGGCAGUUGUCUCUGCCAUGUCUCAUUGCAACAAUUCCCAAUGGAUCUGGCGUAGUUGGGAUAAGAAUCAGUUUUAUUGGCAAGAUACUGUUACAAUUAUGGAGUUUUAAGAAGGGUUUUGUCUGUUUUGGGGGAAAGGGUGCCUUUCCCCUAAUUUUUGAUGGACUUUUUGAAGGGACCUGGAUGGAGGUUUAUGGAACUUGUUGCCUUUUGUUGCAUAUUGUAUUUAAAGUUGUAAGAGGAGA
ensembl:lncRNA